rnacentral:rRNA from 1 species
AUUGAACGCUGGCGGCAUGCUUUACACAUGCAAGUCGAACGGUAACAGGUUAAGCUGACGAGUGGCGAACGGGUGAGUAAUGCAUCGGAACGUGCCCGGUCGUGGGGGAUAACGCAGCGAAAGCUGCGCUAAUACCGCAUACGAUCUGAGGAUGAGAGCGGGGGACCGUAAGGCCUCGCGCGAUCGGAGCGGCCGAUGUCAGAUUAGGUAGUUGGUGGGGUAAAGGCUCACCAAGCCGACGAUCUGUAGCUGGUCUGAGAGGACGACCAGCCACACUGGGACUGAGACACGGCCCAGACUCCUACGGGAGGCAGCAGUGGGGAAUUUUGGACAAUGGGCGCAAGCCUGAUCCAGCAAUGCCGCGUGCAGGAAGAAGGCCUUCGGGUUGUAAACUGCUUUUGUACGGAGCGAAAAGGCUCUCUCUAAUACAGGGGGCUCAUGACGGUACCGUAAGAAUAAGCACCGGCCAACUACGUGCCAGCCGCCGCAGUAA